rnacentral:sRNA from 1 species
ACUCAACACUAACAAAUUAAAAUGGGUGAAUAUUUGCUACUAAAGCACGCUGCAUCACGCAGAUCCUUGAACAGCAAUUUAGCUCAAAACUUGUCUAUUUUCGAGUUU